GAUGAACGCUGGCGGCGUGCUUAACACAUGCAAGUCGAACGGUGAAGCAGGAGCUUGCUCUUGUGGAUCAGUGGCGAACGGGUGAGUAACACGUGAGCAACCUGCCCCUGACUCUGGGAUAAGCGCUGGAAACGGCGUCUAAUACUGGAUAUGUGAUGUGACCGCAUGGUCUGCAUCUGGAAAGAAUUUCGGUUGGGGAUGGGCUCGCGGCCUAUCAGCUUGUUGGUGAGGUAAUGGCUCCCCAAGGCGUCGACGGGUAGCCGGCCUGAGAGGGUGACCGACCAAACUGGGACUGGGACACGGCCCAGACGCCUACGGGAGGUAGCAGUGGGGAAUGUUGCACAAUGGGCGGAAGCCUGAUGCAGCAACGCGGCGUGAGGGGUGACGGGUUUCGGGUUGUAAACCUCUUUUAGCAGGGAAGAAGCGAAAGUGACGGUACCUGCAGAAAAAGCACCGGCUAACUACGUGCCAGCCGCCGCAGUAA
rnacentral:rRNA from 1 species